UUGCAUCAAUAAGUACAUAAAAAAUAAAAAUAAAAAUAAAAUAUGGCAACUACUGAUUCUGAUUCACGACGUUUCCAAACGCAGAACUUGGCUCCGACUUUUCGACGAAGUUCAUGAACAGAUGAAAGGGUACGACCGUAAAUAUGUUGAAAAUACGUGGCAAUCCGUUGAGAGGUUCUACCUGCAAACCAAUACGGUCUCUGCACACCCCAUUUAUCCAAGUACAAACCAAAACGGUCUACGCACACCACCUCCGGCAGCCGCUGCUUUCGCCAACAAUAGCCCUACGAUCCCCGCCUAGACCCUUCCUGACCAGUCCACCUCUAACCUUAUCCAGAACCAGACCCUCCUUCACCAUUGUCCUCCGUCGCAUAAACGCCGGGACUUCAAACGGUAGAAUUUGAUUCGAAUGGAACUACAAAUUUAACCAAAACAGAGUUCAGCUUUAAUCAAACAAGUCCAAUUCGAAUCCAACAGCGGUUAUCAGCACAUAUUUAAGAAUAUGGUAUAUUUAAAUGUCUAAUUGUUUGAUUUGAUUACUUUUUAUCAAUCAUUAAUUGAGAUUCCCAGCUUACAUUUUUUUUUCCUUGGAGAUUUGUUUACGUAGAAUCAAAUUGAUGGAUUUUAAUUUUAGAUGGAUGGAUUGUGUUGAGAACAUGUGUUAAG
rnacentral:lncRNA from 1 species